UGGGGAAUAUUGGACAAUGGGCGCAAGCCUGAUCCAGCAAUGCCGCGUGAGUGAUGAAGGCCUUAGGGUUGUAAAGCUCUUUCGCCCGCGACGAUGAUGACGGUAGCGGGAGAAGAAGCCCCGGCUAACUUCGUGCCAGCAGCCGCGGUAAUACGAAGGGGGCGAGCGUUGUUCGGAUUUACUGGGCGUAAAGGGCGCGUAGGCGGCCCUCUUUGUCGCGUGUGAAAGCCCCGGGCUCAACCUGGGAAUGGCGCGCGAAACGGGGGGGCUGGAGUUCGGGAGAGGAGCGUGGAAUUCCCAGUGUAGAGGUGAGAUUCGUAGAUAUUGGGAAGAACACCGGUGGCGAAGGCGGCGCUCUGGACCGAGACUGACGCUGAGGCGCGAAAGCGUGGGGAGCAAACAGGAUUAGAUACCCUGGUAGUCCACGCUGUAAACGAUGUGUGCUAGACGUUGGGGAGCCUAGCUCUCCGGUGUCGCCGCAAACGCUUUAAGCACACCGCCUGGGGAGUACGGCCGCAAGG
rnacentral:rRNA from 1 species